rnacentral:rRNA from 1 species
ACGAACGCUGGCGGCGUGCCUAACACAUGCAAGUCGAGCGAGGUAUUUAUACCUAGCGGCGGACGGGUGAGUAACACGUGGGUAACCUGCCUCAUAGAGGGGAAUAGCCUUCCGAAAGGGAGAUUAAUACCGCAUAAUAUAUACUGGUAGCAUUAACGGUAUAUCAAAGGAGAAAUCCGCUAUGAGAUGGGCCCGCGGCGCAUUAGCUAGUUGGAGAGGUAACGGCUCACCAAGGCGACGAUGCGUAGCCGACCUGAGAGGGUGAUCGGCCACAUUGGAACUGAGACACGGUCCAGACUCCUACGGGAGGCAGCAGUGGGGAAUAUUGCACAAUGGGGGAAACCCUGAUGCAGCAACGCCGCGUGAAUGAUGACGGCCUUCGGGUUGUAAAGUUCUUUGAUUGGGGACGAAAAUGACGGUACCCAAAAAACAAGCCACGGCUAACUACGUGCCAGCAGCCGCGGUAAUACGUAGGUGGCGAGCGUUGUCCGGAUUUACUGGGCGUAAAGGAUGCGUAGGUGGUAACUUAAGUGGGAUGUGAAAUCCCCGGGCUCAACCCGGGAACUGCAUUCCAAACUGAGUAACUAGAGUGCAGGAGAGGAAAGCGGAAUUCCUAGUGUAGCGGUGAAAUGCGUAGAUAUUAGGAGGAACACCAGUGGCGAAGGCGGCUUUCUGGACUGUAACUGACACUGAGGCAUGAAAGCGUGGGGAGCAAACAGGAUUAGAUACCCUGGUAGUCCACGCCGUAAACGAUGGGUACUAGGUGUAGGGGGUAUCAACUCCCCCUGUGCCGUCGUUAACACAAUAAGUACCCCGCCUGGGGAGUACGGUCGCAAGAUUA